rnacentral:rRNA from 1 species
UACUCCUACGGGAGGCAGCAGUAGGGAAUUUUUCACAAUGGGCGAAAGCCUGAUGGAGCAAUGCCGCGUGAAUGAUGAAGGUCUUAUAGAUUGUAAAAUUCUUUUAUUUGGGAAGAACGACUAAAGUAGGAAAUGACUUUAGUGUGACUGUACCAUUUGAAUAAGUAUCGGCUAACUAUGUGCCAGCAGCCGCGGUAAUACAUAGGAUGCAAGCGUUAUCCGGAUUUACUGGGCGUAAAACGAGCGCAGGCGGAUUAGCAAGUUUGGUAUGAAAGGCUUUUGCUUAACGAAAGUUUGUAUCAAAAACUGCUAAUCUGGAGUGUAGUAGGGAGUUUUAGAAUUCCAUGUGGAGCGGUGGAAUGCGUAGAUAUAUGGAAGAAUACCGGUGGCGAAGGCGAAAACUUAGGCUAUCACUGACGCUUAGGCUCGAAAGUGUGUGGAGCAAAUAGGAUUAGAUACCCUAGUAGUCCACACCGUAAACGAUGGUUAUUAAGUGUUGGUACGAUUGUAUCAGCGCUGCAGCUAACGCAUUAAAUAACCUGCCUGGGUAGUACAUUCGCAAGAAUGAAACUCAAACGGAAUUGACGGGGACCCGCACAAGUGAUGGAGCAUGUUGCUUAAUUGGAGGAUACAUGUAAAACCUUGCCUAGUAC